GAUUGUGUUGUUUGCUGAAGCAUUAUUGCUUUUCUUUCUCGACGAUUUGUGGUCGAAAAUUCCUUCAACUUCGUUGCUUUGAAGAAUGUAAAGGUCCUCAGGCUUGACAAUAACAAACUUCAAACAAUUGCACCGAACUCAUUGACACGAUUGGAAAAUCUCGAAUCACUUAAUAUCGAAGGUAAUCACGAUUUGAAAAUGGACGCUCCCCGUGAGGUUCGUUCAUGUAAGAAUUUGUGCCACUUGCAAUAUCCUUCCCAUCUGGCAGAAAGAGUAACAGACGAAUUAAAUGGAACUGAAUAGAAAAGCUAAACUAUGUUACAUUCAAGAAAAUUUCUGAAAAGAUUAAACAGAAGAAAACAGAAAGAGGGAUAAGUUGUCAAAAACAAUUUUCUCGUGAUUUUUGUAUGUAUGAUAACGAUUUUUUAAAUAAUUCUCACCAAAAUUCAACGUUUCUGGCUCAUUUUUGUACUUGGUGCUUUACUGUAAAUUAAUUACUAAAUAUAUAAUGUUGACUCACUCUUUGACAACACAAAGUGUAUGGUGGCUAAAAGCUACUUUUCAAUUUUUCUAAAAAAUAAUGAAUAGAAAUAAUAAAAUUAAAACGAAUAAUUAAUAAGUGCAAUUCAAAGCAGGAAAAAAAACAAGUUCAAUUUAAUAUUCUUGUCACAAAAUGAAAAUAAAAUCAAUUGAAUGUAAA